GACGAACGCUGGCGGCGUGCUUAACACAUGCAAGUCGAACGGAAAGGCACUGCUUUUGUGGGGUGCUCGAGUGGCGAACGGGUGAGUAACACGUGAGUAACCUGCCCUUGACUUUGGGAUAACUUCAGGAAACUGGGGCUAAUACCGGAUAGGAGCUCCUGCUGCAUGGUGGGGGUUGGAAAGUUUCGGCGGUUGGGGAUGGACUCGCGGCUUAUCAGCUUGUUGGUGGGGUAGUGGCUUACCAAGGCUUUGACGGGUAGCCGGCCUGAGAGGGUGACCGGCCACAUUGGGACUGAGGUACGGCCCAGACUCCUACGGGAGGCAGCAGUGGGGAAUAUUGCACAAUGGGCGGAAGCCUGAUGCAGCAACGCCGCGUUCGGGAUGACGGCCUUCGGGUUGUAAACCGCUUUCGCCUGUGACGAAGCGUGAGUGACGGUAAUGAGUAAAGAAGCACCGGCUAACUACGUG
rnacentral:rRNA from 1 species